rnacentral:miRNA from 1 species
GGGAAUCUGCAGCUUGUGAGG